AAACCAUGCUUUAAGUCAACAGAUCUGAUUCUAGUGCCUAGGAAUCUCCAAAGCAUUUUCUAGCUGUGAAAACUGGGAUCUCAAUCUGUCUCACACAGCUGCCAAAGUUACCCGCGGAAGAUCAAGUUGAACAAUGUCAUUCUUCUGCUGAAGUAAAUCCCUGGCUCCAGGAAGGUCUUUCAGACAUGACCCCAGAAAUGAUUAACACAAGAGAAACACCAUAGAGACGGAAGUGCCGGGGACAUCCCCUUGUGCCUUUCUCCAUGGCAUUGGUGACCUGCAAGGCACUCAGACUUGAUAGGAACCUGCAGAGUAAUUGUGCAGGGCAGCAGACAGUGAUGUACGUGGAGAAGAGCUCCGUGUCCAGUGUCCAGCAAGCUGGAAGUAAGAGUUACAACAAAAACAAUAUAUGUAGACCAUCCUUUGUCACUAAGUAUCUUCACACCAUAUUCUCUUACUUUGUGUUUGAUGUGAUAGCUACCCUCACCUCCUUCAGGGCUUUGUUCAAAUGUUCUCUUUCCUU